CACAGGUUUGGUCCCAGCCUUGAAAUCAAUUCUUACUUAACUUACACAUGCAAGUCUCCGCACACCCGUGAAAACGCCCUUCCUACCCCUACAGGGAUAAGGAGCUGAUAUCAGGCACACCACCCAAAACAUCUAGCCACGCCACACCCUCAAGGGCCAUCAGCAGUGAUUAACAUUAAAAAUAAACGUCAGUUUGACUUAGUUAAAUGAAAACAGAGCCGGCCAAUCUGGUGCCAGCCGCCGCGGUUACACCAUGUGGCUCAAAUUGAUCCCAAUACGGCGUAAAGCGUGAUUAAAGAGAUAUACCCCUGGGGUUAAACUAAAACUAAGCUGUAGUACGCCUGUUUUUAAGAAACCCUAUUUCGAAAGAUACCCCAACCCAUCAACUUGAACUCACAACAACUGGGACACAAACUGGGAUUAGAUACCCCACUAUGCCUAGUCAUAAACUUUAACUUACACCUCAAUCGCCAGGAAACUACGAGCAAAGCUUAAAACCCAAAGGACUUGACGGUGCCCCAUAUCCCCCUAGAGGAGCCUGUCCUAUAACCGAUACCCCCCGUUUAACCUCACCAUUUUUAGUCUAUCAGCCUGUNUNCUUCCGUCGCCAGCUUACCGCG
rnacentral:rRNA from 1 species